GAUGAACGCUGGCGGCGUGCCUAAUACAUGCAAGUCGAGCGAACAGACGAGGAGCUUGCUCCUCUGACGUUAGCGGCGGACGGGUGAGUAACACGUGGAUAACCUACCUAUAAGACUGGGAUAACUUCGGGAAACCGGAGCUAAUACCGGAUAAUAUAUUGAACCACAUGGUUCAAUAGUGAAAGACGCUUUUGCUGUCACUUAUAGAUGGAUCCGCGCCGCAUUAGCUAGUUGGUAAGGUAACGGCUUACCAAGGCAACGAUGCGUAGCCGACCUGAGAGGGUGAUCGGCCACACUGGAACUGAGACACGGUCCAGACUCCUACGGGAGGCAGCAGUAGGGAAUCUUCCGCAAUGGGCGAAAGCCUGACGGAGCAACGCCGCGUGAGUGAUGAAGGUCUUCGGAUCGUAAAACUCUGUUAUUAGGGAAGAACAAAUGUGUAAGUAACUAUGCACGUCUUGACGGUACCUAAUCAGAAAGCCACGGCUAACUACGUG
rnacentral:rRNA from 1 species